AUGUCCACCACUUCCUGGGUAACGUAGUGAUUGCUCUGGAAGAAAACAUGGUAAUAAUGAAUGCUCCCUCUCUCCUCCUCGUCCUUUCUCCCAGCUUUUAUUGCUGAGCAGAUGGCUUACUCGAGGACAGAUUAGUGGAACUGAGAGUAAAUGGAAGCAGAAGAAUUCAGUCUCUCCCAGGGUUCUCUGGAAAUUCUGAGAGCACAUGUGCUCCCCGUGAUGGCACAAAUCCGAGCAGUUGCUCAGCAAGAAGGCUUUCGGCUAGGGUUCACAGAAAUAUUUGUGGGUUCAGAGACAGCAUUGUUUUUGCAGCCUGGUUGCAGAAAAAGUUGUUUUGUCAAUGUUUCUAUCUAGUCUUAAAGUAAACAAAGCUGAUACAGGUGAACACCCCUGACAUAGCUACCUGUGCUGUGAUAAAGGUGACUUUAACAUCCACUAGUUAUAUCUUCUUUGACAUUUAUUUUUCUCAGUUGUUUAGCAACUUUUAGCUCAUUUCAUGAAGUGAUAGGGAGACUUGUCAUAAUGGUGAUUUGUGAUCACUUAAAACAGGAUGUGGUAAGACAAUUUUAUACAAAUUUAAACCUUUCCUGCGAGGCAGUUCUCAGCCUUGAGUGGUAGAAAUAAUUUUAUGUGUCUGGUAUAAAUAGAGUUUUACUUAAAGAGGAAUGGCUGGAUAUGAUUAUAUGGAGAAGACCUGAUGAAAGAAGGGAGAAGUUGCAUUGUUUGGUUUAGGUGAACUAAAGACGUGGCAUCUCCAAAAGCCAGUGGCACCCCUUUGGUCAAGAUGUCAGUAGUAAACUAGACUGUGAGGUGGGUUUCAAGACAAGAGUGACUUUGAUCAGCCAGUUGGAGAUAGGAUACUGGCUGGAUGACUUCUAGACUGAUCCAUUACUGAUUUUCUUAUGUUUUUGUAAUUGCUUAUCACUUCUGUUGAUUUGGAUUUUUUUAUAUGGUUGCAGUUUUUAUUGAUUGAAAGUCAUACUGAUUGCUGCCAGAAGGAGUUUUUUUGUGGUGCUAGAGGAAGGUGAAACUUAUAAUUAGAAGUAUGGUUAUGAAUCAGAAUCAUCAUUUUUCAGGACUGUAUGUUGUCAUAGAAAUUAUUUGGAAUAACUAGGCUACUCAUAGUCUUGGGCUCUAUUAAAAGCCCAUUAAUGCAUGUUUAACUGAGAUUUGCAGUAUCAUGUGCAUUCCUGAGCCAGCAUCUGACUCUUGACGUAAUAAAUACUCCUGAAAGACAGAUAAUUUGAAGUGAGAGCUGCUUGUUCAGUUUUGCACAAGAGAUUCAUUAAUUGUCAUUCUGGGAUCUCAAGAAGAAGGAACUGUAAUUAUCUAUCAGCAUCAGGAUAUAAAAAAAACCAUUUAAAGCAAAUAUCAGGCUUAUUUUUAACAAACAGGGUAAACUGCAAAGGCUUUUAUGUUUAAAGACUUUCAUGCUCUUUUGUUAUAUUUCUGAAACAAAGUGGGUAAUUACAGUGAUUUAACUACUCAAUAUAAAUUCACUGGAGUGGUUUCUCUAUAUAUGUAAAUUGUAUGUGGUUUGUGUCUUAAACUUACCUGGAGAUUGUGAACCACCAUUAUGUUUGACUUACCCAUCAGCUCUAGAAAGAAUAAAGUAUGCAGCCUGGAUUUUAAUUCAGUUUACAAUGUGUGCUUUAGUUAUAUUCACUGGGUGAAAGAAAAA